rnacentral:misc_RNA from 1 species
AAAGUCGUAACAAGGUCUCCGUUGGUGAACCAGCGGAGGGAUCAUUACCGAGUAACAACUCCCAACCCUAUGUGAACAUACCAGUAUUAGUUGCUUCGGCGGGCAGCCCCAGGGCGGGGCUGUGGCCUUUACAGGCGCCCGCCGGAGGUAUUACAUUCUGAUUUUAUUUAUGUUUCUUCUGAGUGGUCUAAGCAAAUAAUCAAAACUUUUAACAACGGAUCUCUUGGUUCUG